rnacentral:lncRNA from 10 species
AAAAGGACAAGAGAGAAGAAGUGGUUAUAAGAUGUCAACAUUUGUUUCCAGUUCCCGUCAGAGACAAAGAAACACAAACCCAAGGAUUGAAUCACUUGGUGGUCCAGUAAAAGAAUGCAUUCUCCUCAGCUAUCUGGAGAAGUUCAAGAUUGUCUUUGAUAAAAGAAUAUUUACCAGGUGUCUGAAAAUACCAAGCUGGAGAAUUAGUCUAUGGUGAUUAAAAACUCUCAAAGCAUGUCUUACCAACUGGAGAAUUUUUCCUAUGUCAACCAAAGGGGUAAGUCUGCUACAUUUUUCCUGGUAACAAAUUGCUGUCAAUGCUGGGAAAAGCGAGCAUUACACUAUUCAAAUAAUUCCUGGUCAACAGUUUCCUCAGUCUGUGAUACAAGUACUAAAAAGCUAGGCUUUAGAACUGCAUAUAUUGUAUUUGAGUGACUCCUUUGCAGCUGAAAACACUGAAUUCGAUUUAUAGUUUUCAAAAAUAAUAUUGUCAGUAG